rnacentral:misc_RNA from 1 species
GGAGAUGGUUGCAUCUGCAUUUGGAGAGGAUGAAAAUGGUGGUCGUCAGACUCGUUUGACAGUGGAGGACUUGAAUUACCUUUUUAUGGCGUGAAGAUGGAGUUUAGAGCAGUCAUCCAUUUGCUAACGCAGAUAUCAUAUAUGGUAUCCCAGCAGCAGGCUCCAAGAUUCUUAGCCGUUGCUGCUGUGGCUUUAUGACGGAAUUGGGACAGUAGUCUGACUCGUUUCAGCAUUGAUACCUCAGGGAAGUAGUUUUUUGCUGACAAGAAAAUACAUGCAUAGAUGUCCAGGAAGAUCCAUUUUUCUUUUUUAUACAUUUUUUGGUGGGCCAUCUCCCAUUACAUUGAUAGGAUCUGGAGUUCAAAGAGUCUUACAGUUAUUAAAGAUACUGAGUUUGAUAGGUAUAUAUG